rnacentral:rRNA from 1 species
GACGAACGCUGGCGGCGUGCUUAACACAUGCAAGUCGAACGGAAAGGCCCUGCUUUUGUGGGGUUCUCGAUUGGCGAACGGGUGAGUAACACGUGAGUAACCUGCCCUUGACUUUGGGAUAACUUCAUGAAACUGGGGCUAAUACCCGAUAGGAGCUCCUGCUGCAUGGUGGGGGUUGGAAAGUUUCGGCGGUUGGGGAUGGACUCGCGGCUUAUCAGCUUGUUUGUGGGGUAGUGGCUUACCAAGGCUUUGACGGGUAGCCGGCCUGAGAGGGUGACCGGCCACAUUGGGACUGAGAUACGGCCCAGACUCCUACGGGAGGCAGCAGUGGGGAAUAUUGCACAAUGGGCGGAAGCCUGAUGCAGCAACGCCGCGUGCGGGAUGACGGCCUUCGGGUUGUAAACCGCUGUCGCCUGUGACGAAGCGUGAGUGACGGUAAUGGGUAAAGAAGCACCGGCUAACUACGUG